GCCAUGGCAUUGUUAUUCUACUCGUCCCACUUUGAUGUGUUUUUUUCCUUUUGUUUUCGCAGCCACUGGAGCAGUAGUUUAGUUUAUUGAGUUGAGUUAGUUGAGUUAGUUUGGUUCGUCAGUUUAGACCAAAGUUACUCUUAAUGGUUAGUUGGUGGUUGCCACGGUAACUGGGUAGAACGUUGUUAGUUUUUGUUUACAUGUUUGUUUUUGUUUUGUUUACUCUCUUGGGGUUCAGCAUGACAACAGUGUUACCAUGACAACCACACACAGUUGUCACCUGUCAAUCACUCUGUCGUGCCACGUGGAAACACCCACCUGCCCCGCCCACCUGCUUGUCCUCCCUUCAGUUAGACAGUGAACCAAUCAGAUGCUCCCGCUGUUUGACGUCAUGUUGUUUGUGGUUGAUUCUUUCCUGCCUGAAAAUGUCCUCGUUUCAACAGAUUAAAAAAGAAAAGUCAG